rnacentral:rRNA from 1 species
CGUGUAGGCGGAUGCGUAAGUCCGGUGUAAAAGCCCCCGGCUCAACCGGGGAAGGCCAUCGGAUACUGCGUGUCUGGAGUGCGGGAGGGGAGAGUGGAACUCUUGGUGGAGCGGUGAAAUGCGUAGAUAUCAAGAGGAACGCCGGUGGCGAAAGCGGCUCUCUGGCCCGCAACUGACGCUGAGGCGCGAAAGCUAGGGGAGCAAACGGGAUUAGAUACCCCGGUAGUCCUAGCCCUAAACGAUGGGUACUAAGUAGGGGCGACUCCGAUGUUGUCUCUGCUGCAGCCAACGUGCUAAGUACCCCCGCCUGGGGAGUACGGUCGCAAGGCUGAA